rnacentral:rRNA from 1 species
CCUACGGGAGGCAGCAGUGGGGAAUAUUGGGCAAUGGACGCAACUCUGACCCAGCAACGCCGCGUGAAUGAUGAAGGUCCUCGGAUUGUAAAGUUCUUUUCUACGGGAAGAAGAAAGUGACGGUACCUUCGGAAUAAGCCUCGGCUAACUACGUGCCAGCAGCCACGGUAAUACGUAGGAGGCAGGCGUUAUCCGGAUUUACUGGGUGUUAAGGGGUCGUAGGCGGCGAUGCAAAGCAGAAGUGAAAGCCCGGGGCUGAACUCCGGGACAGCUUUUGAAACUGUAUGGCUAGAUUGGAAGAGAGGUAAGUGGAAUGCGUGGUGUAGCGGUGAAAUGCGUAGAUAGUAGGAAGAACACCAGUGGCGAAGGCAGCUUGCUGGACUGUAAAUGACGCUGAGGCUCGAAAGCGUGGGGAGCAAACAGGAUUAGAUACCCUGGUAGUC